UACGUAGGGGGCAAGCGUUGUCCGGAUUUAUUGGGCGUAAAGAGCGUGUAGGCGGUCUGGUAGGUCCGUUGUGAAAACUCGAGGCUCAACCUCGAGACGCCGAUGGAAACCCUCAGACUAGAGUCCGGAAGAGGAGAGUGGAAUUCCUGGUGUAGCGGUGAAAUGCGCAGAUAUCAGGAAGAACACCCGUGGCCAAGGCGGCUCUCUAGUACGGUACUGACGCUGAGACGCGAAAGCGUGGGGAGCGAACAGG
rnacentral:rRNA from 1 species